GGGAGUGUGUAGCUGCUUUGAAAUGCUUCUUCUGUGGCCUGUCCUCUGUGUCAUUAUGGCAGUGACUUUUGCCUAAAAGCUUUAAUAAGAGCUUGAUGAGAAAACUAUGCUCUCAAGAGCCACACGGUUAAACAGCUCUGGACAGAUGAGGAAGGUUCUUGAAGGAGGUUUAUACUGCAAUUUGCAAUGCUUGCCUGCUAGGAAUUUUUUUUUGUGUGUGUGUGUUACUGCUGGCAGAAUUAUAUCAAUAGAAAGCUCAGGAAUGAAGGAAAUCAGCGAGAAAAAUGAGAAUUUGCACAUACUUGGCUUAAAUGUCCACCAGAGACACAAAGAGAUCAGGGUCCACUGUGAAGUGUUCGUUGAAUGACUUAAAGAUUUGAAAACGUGUAGGGACUGUGGUGAUGGCUUCCUUACAUGAGGCAGAAAUAACCAUAAUUGUGCUCAUAUUAAUUGUUAAUUAGACAUGAAAAUUUAAAAGGAAAGCGGGAAUUAUUUUUCCUGAAUGCUGAUCAUGCAGAUUUUUUUACAAUCUGAAGUCAUCUGGGUCUCAGAAAUCCUUAAAUUUGAGAAACAAUUGGUCCCAACAAAAUGAUUAUCACACUGGCAUUUGCUUUGCUGUUCUUCUUGGCUGUUAUGUUUUGUUUUCUGGUUUGUUUCUGUAGGGAAGGGGGACAAGUCUGUUCCAUGUCAGGCUUAAUUUUAGCUUGUGUCGUGGCUCUUUUAUUUUCUGUUUUGUGAAUUUCUUUUUAAAACACGCUGUGCUUAAAAUAUAUUGGUGUUCUGUUCCACA